rnacentral:piRNA from 1 species
UGGGACCUUUAAAAAAGAUAGCCCCACU